rnacentral:rRNA from 1 species
UACGUAGGGGGCUAGCGUUGUCCGGAAUCAUUGGGCGUAAAGCGCGUGUAGGCGGUCCGGUAAGUCCGCUGUGAAAGUCGAGGGCUCAACCCUCGAAUGCCGGUGGAUACUGUCGGGCUAGAGUGCGGAAGAGGCGAGUGGAAUUCCUGGUGUAGCGGUGGAAUGCGCAGAUAUCAGGAGGAACACCGAUGGCGAAGGCAGAUCUCUGGGCCGUAACUGACGCUGAGGAGCGAAAGCGUGGGGAGCGAACAGG